CGGGCUCGGGCAAGCUGUCGGCCUUUGGUCGGACUUUACGCUCGGGUCUUUCUGCCUGAGGAACCCUGUUGCUUUAACGAGCUGCCGGUGGACGCAGGUCGUUUACUUUAAAAAAAUUAGAGUGUUCAAAGCAGGCUAGCGCUUGAAUACAUUAGCAUGGAAUAAUGGAAUAGGACUUUGGUGCUAUUUUGUUGGUUUAUGGGACCGAAGUAAUGAUUAACAGGGACAGUUGGGGCCGUUUAUAUUUCGUUGUCAGAGGCGAAAUUCUUGGAUUUACGAAAGAUAAACUUCUGCGAAAGUAUUCGGCAAGGAUGUUUUCAUUGAUCUUGAACGAAAGUCAGGGGGUCGAAGA
rnacentral:rRNA from 1 species